CAUUCUUAAAAUGUGGUGAUGUCUACAGUGGAACACAGUGCCCCGGCUCUGGUCUGAGCAGGAAAGACAGGAGAGCCUAAUCUUGCACUAUAUUAAGGGUCCAAUCCAAUGAAAUUGAACUGAAUGGAAUCAGGGGAGGGGUGCGCGCUCCUAACUUCUUGAAAUUUCAUGUCUGCUUCUUGCUUUAUAAUCACUGCUGAAGUCCCUUUGAAGAUUGGGCAUUUGCUUCAAUUUUGCUCUAAACCUCUGACCUUUAAAGCCAUAAAAAAGAGGGCCCUGUUUUCAACUUUUCAAAAUGUAUUUUGAAUGUACUGAACAGUUUAAAAAAAGACUUUCAACUCAGGGCCCAGCAUGCCCAGCAGUGGGCUGAUAGGGGCCAGCUUUAGUGUGGAGGCUGGUCGCUACCUCACAUUCUACGUAUGUCUUUUCUUCAAGCUCUCUUUUGGAAUUUCACUGGGCAUUUCAGAGCACAACUCAAAUCUAACUCUUCCCAUCUGCACGUGAAAGGGCUCCAUUUCCCAUUUAAGUCCUGAAGAAAACAAUUUCACAUGUGACAGGAUCAAAGAGUCAUGGAUUUAUCACUGGAAGGGAUCUAAGCGGCAAUCUAGUCCAACUUAUUUAUUUUAGCAGAAGCCCAGAGAGAUUCUGACUUGACCAAGAAUACACAUGUUAAGUGACAAAGGCAGGAUUUGAACCAAGAUUUGAACCAAUGUUCUUUCCAUUUAUUUCACCCCCUAGACAGAAGAACAAAAACAUUCCCAUUCAAGACCUCGGUGACCCUGGAUCUGUCAUUUCAAUUUUCUGGAUCUGUUUCCUCACCUUUAAAAUGAGGAUAAUGAUGCCCCUGGUGCCCACUUCACAGGGUUCUUAUGGGGAAACUGAGGCACAGGGAGGUUUGGUUCCCAAC
rnacentral:lncRNA from 1 species